UUGGUGUUAUCUUGUCAAAACUUGAAGGAGAUUCCGGCAUAUGCUGCAAAAAGCGAGAAAAAUUAAAAUACAUUAUUUUUAAUUUGUUGUUUUCCUUUUU
rnacentral:ribozyme from 1 species